rfam:Aedes aegypti strain Liverpool supercont1.480 genomic scaffold, whole genome shotgun sequence.
GGCUCGGUAGCUUAGUUGGUAAAGCGCUCGUCUAGCAUACAAGAGUCCUGGUUUCAAAUCCCAGCCGAGCAC